rnacentral:rRNA from 1 species
CGAACGGCAGCGGGGAGGAGCUUGCUUCUCUGCCGGCGAGUGGCGAACGGGUGAGUAAUACAUCGGAACGUGUCGAGAAGAGGGGGAUAACCACCCGAAAGGGUGGCUAAUACCGCAUAAAUUCUGAGGAAGAAAGCUGGGGACCUAGGAAUAGGCCUAGCGCUUUUUGAGCGGCCGAUGUCGGAUUAGCUAGUUGGUGAGGUAAAGGCUCACCAAGGCGAAGAUCUGUAGCGGGUCUGAGAGGAUGAUCCGCCACACUGGGACUGAGACACGGCCCAGACUCCUACGGAGGCAGCAGUGGGGAAUUUUGGACAAUGGGAGCAACCCUGAUCCAGCCAUGCCGCGUGUAUGAAGAAGGCCUUAGGGUUGUAAAGUACUUUUGUUAGGGAAGAAAAGUCAGCUGUGAAUAAUGGCUGAUACUGACGGUACCUAAAGAAUAAGCACCGGCUAACUACGUGCCAGCAGCCGCGGUAAUACGUAGGGUGCGAGCGUUAAUCGGAAUUAUUGGGCGUAAAGCGAGUGUAGACGGUUAUUUAAGCCAGAUGUGAAAUACCCGAGCCUAACUUGGGAGGUGCAUAUGGAACUGGGUAGCUAGAGUGUGUCAGAGGGAGGUAGAACUCCACGUGUAGCAGUGAAAUGCGUAGAGAUGUGGAAGAAUACCGAUGGCGAAGGCAGCCUCCUGGGAUAACACUGACGUUGAGGCUCGAAAGCGUGGGGAGCAAACAGGAUUA